rnacentral:rRNA from 1 species
GACGAACGCUGGCGGCGUGCUUAACACAUGCAAGUGGAGCGACGAACCAGGGCUUGCCCCGGGGCAGAGCCGCGAACGGGUGAGUAACACGUGGGUAACGUGCCCCGAUGACUGGGACAACCCGGGGAAACCCGGGCUAAUACCGGAUGUGCCCCCUCACAUCAGUGAGGUGUGUAAAGGAAGCUUCGGCCUCCGCAUCGGGAUCGGCCCGCGGCCCAUUAGCUUGUUGGUGAGGUAACGGCUCACCAAGGCUGCGAUGGGUAGCUGGUCUGAGAGGACGAUCAGCCACACUGGGACUGAGACACGGCCCAGACUCCUACGGGAGGCAGCAGUGGGGAAUCUUGCGCAAUGCGCGAAAGCGUGACGCAGCAACGCCGCGUGGGGGAAGACGGCCUUCGGGUUGUAAACCCCUUUCAGUUGGGACGAAGGUCGGGCGGUUAACAGCCGUUCCGGCUGACGGUACCUUCACAAGAAGCCCCGGCUAACUACGUG